rnacentral:rRNA from 1 species
GAUGAACGCUGGCGGCGUGCCUAAUACAUGCAAGUCGAGCGAACGGACGAGAAGCUUGCUUUUCUGAUGUUAGCGGCGGACGGGUGAGUAACACGUGGAUAACCUACCUAUAAGACUGGGAUAACUUCGGGAAACCGGAGCUAAUACCGGAUAAUAUUUUGAACCGCAUGGUUCAAAAGUGAAAGACGGUCUUGCUGUCACUUAUAGAUGGAUCCGCGCUGCAUUAGCUAGUUGGUAAGGUAACGGCUUACCAAGGCAACGAUGCAUAGCCGACCUGAGAGGGUGAUCGGCCACACUGGAACUGAGACACGGUCCAGACUCCUACGGGAGGCAGCAGUAGGGAAUCUUCCGCAAUGGGCGAAAGCCUGACGGAGCAACGCCGCGUGAGUGAUGAAGGUCUUCGGAUCGUAAAACUCUGUUAUUAGGGAAGAACAUAUGUGUAAGUAACUGUGCACAUCUUGACGGUACCUAAUCAGAAAACCACGGCUAACUACGU